rnacentral:rRNA from 1 species
GACGUAGGGCGCGAGCGUUGUCCGGAUUUAUUGGGCGUAAAGAGCUCGUAGGCGGCUUGUCGCGUCGUCUGUGAAAACCCGCGGCUCAACGGCGGGCUUGCAGUCGAUACGGGCAGGCUGGAGUUCGGUAGGGGAGACUGGAAUUCCUGGUGUAGCGGUGAAAUGCGCAGAUAUCAGGAGGAACACCGGUGGCGAAGGCGGGUCUCUGGGCAUUAACUGACGCUGAGGAGCGAAAGCAUGGGGAGCGAACAGG